CCCAGCUGGGUUUUGGUUUGUUGAUUAACACGUUUGUUGUAUUUCCUGUUAUUGUUGUUGUGUUUCUUGUUAGUGUUGUUGUGGUUCCUGUUAAUGUCGUUGUGUUUCAUCUUUUUCUUUGUUUGUGACUUGCACUUCAGGGCCACCGUACACCUCACCCCGACUCUCACACUCAGCACUGGUUCUUUUCAGGGCUGUGUUUUCAGCCCCCUGCUAUAUGCUCUGGGGCCCGUUUCAAGAAGGAGGUUUAACAAACUCUGAGUUAAAACGAAACUCUGAGUUGAUUUACUCUGAGUUUGCAAACCUGGAGUUUUCGGUUCCAGAACAGCUGAAAAGAGUUGGUUUAAGCAACUCUGAGUUGUCUGACUCAGAGUUAAACGCGUGCACCGCGACGAUACAAAGCCCUGAUCAAUGGAGUGAAGAUAUUACGAGUCACCAUGGCAACAGGACAACAAAUGGAUAUGUUACGUAAAGCAUAUAGCGACUACGAGCCUAUAAUCCGUAGAAAAGGCAACACUGCUGCAGCGGCGAAAGAGAAAGAAUUAGCUUGGAAGAAAAUAGCUCCUCGAGUCAAUGCGCGCAAUCCUGCAGACAUAAAGGAACGUGGCUAAAAAUGGAAUGUAAAAACAUAAUUCAAACAGGUAUAAGGCACCAUCAUGUCAUGGGUGUAGACUACCUGACUUUACAAUAUUUGAUAUAUUAAAUAACUAAAUAGCAUGCAGAGUAUAGCAGUGCAGCAGCAUUUUCAACAUGGCUGUAAUGUUUUCACACAGUUAAACAUUUGACUUCUACUCAGCCAACAGAAAGAAGGCAGAGGCUAGAACAACUGGUGGAGGACCUGCACCUCGCAGGAGGAGGUCAGUCACAUUUGCUGCACAGAUGCACACGGUUCAGUGAUGUUCAGUAAAUGCCAGAGUUCAAUUCUGUAAGAGUAAUGAGGAACAUGUCAUGUCAAGAUGUCAUGUAACUCUAAAUCUUCUGUAUUUUAAGUUACCGGUUAUUGAGUUGUAUAAACUAAAUCUCAAGGAAAUGUUAUACUUGUAUCACAAGAUUGAGAAGCCAGAUCUAGAAAUUGAAAUUCCCAAACACAAGCUGGAGAUGAGUGUAUAGUUAAAGGUGAAUUUUAUGAAUUAUUGGAAGAAUCAUAAAAUCUAACAUUUGCCUUUUGUAUUUGUAGGAAAUGAAAAAAAAACAAAUAAAUUAUGAUUUACAUCUAUUCAGUUUCUUUUAUUGGUGGUGGUGGGGAUGGUUGAUUAAGACAUUAAAGCAAAUCUGUCCAUCCACUCUGCAGAUUACUGUAAUGGAAGGAGUCUCCUCAGGGUCUUGUAUUUGUAGGGCAGGGUGUUGCUCCUCUCUAAUAAUUGCAAUAAUGUGGAGAACAACACAUGCCACAAUAAUGUCACAGGCCUCUCAGGUGUUUCCCUGAGGUGACGUAGACACUGAAGACGUGCUUUCAACAGGCCUAUGGUCAUUUCCACCCGGGCUCUUGUUCUGCAGGGCCACAUUAAAGCGCUGCUGGGGGCCUGCUUCAGGUUCUGGGUCAGGCGUCAGUAGUGUGCGCCUUCAUGGGUAACCCCUAUCUCCAGCAGAAAGCUGUCAAUCUCUCCUAGAAGAAAGUUCACAUUACUUUAGUGCUGCAUAGAAGUGUUCCUGUGAGUGUGAGUGCAUGCAUUGAAAUAAGUGUAUAGGACAUACAUGUACUUACCACAGUGCAGCCUGUUACUUAGGGUUGAAUCACGAUAUAUUCAUGAGUUCACGUUUAUGAUAUGUGCAGCAUCACAUAUGAUCUUGGUGAUGUAAACAAUGUGAUGUCAGUUACAGUGACCAUUAGAAAGAGUAGUCAGUGAACCUGCACAUUUAUCAGUUUAUUUCAGAUCACAGCAAGAUAUUAUUAACUGAUCAUCAUUUUUCAGAUUAGCCUCAAUGAAACAAAUUAAUUACCACAUACCUGCAAUCCUGUGAAACUCCUCUUUAAUGGCUUUAAGGAGUUUGUGUCAAGGAAAGCGCUUGAGGUCGAACUUUUCUACAUACAGUGGCUUUACUAAUGUGCUCAGCAUCUCCAAUGUUAUAAAGAAAACUACCGUUUGCAAAAAAAAAAAAAACGUAACGCAACACAAAGAA